GGAGGAUCCAAGCGUUAUCCGGAUUUAUUGGGUUUAAAGGGUGCGUAGGUGGCCUGUUAAGUCAGGGGUGAAAGACGGCAGCUUAACUGUCGCAGUGCCCUUGAUACUGAUGGGCUUGAAUGAACUAGAGGUAGGCGGAAUGUGACAAGUAGCGGUGAAAUGCAUAGAUAUGUCACAGAACACCAAUUGCGAAGGCAGCUUACUAUGGUUUUAUUGACACUGAGGCACGAAAGCGUGGGGAUCAAACAGGAUUAGAUACCCUGGUAGUCCACGCCCUAAACGAUGAAUACUCGAUGUUGGCGAUAUACGGUCAGCGUCUAAGCGAAAGCGUUAAGUAUUCCACCUGGGGAGUACGCCCGCAGGGGUG
rnacentral:rRNA from 1 species